CUAUGAGAAGAAAAUAACUGUUUGCAUCGCAACACCUCGUGAUGUGUUUCUAAGCCAUGAUUGAGCCGCUGUGCCGAUUAACUUUCCAUUGGACCCAAGCACCUGGACCAG